CGAGCUCAGACAAGGCAAGGCCCUGGGAAGGUGCGCAGGACAUUAGAUCAAGACCACCUGAAACCUCCAACUCAACGCCACGGGUGCCGCUUCAGCAGCGACUCUAACUCCCUUCAGAUCUGGAGGCUCAGGGCAGCACAGGUCCUGGGGCCACCCAAGUCAUCAGCAGACCAUGCUCAGGAAGGCAGCUGGGUCAUGAGGUUAAGGGGUACAGAGCAGGCUACCCGCUCCCUUGAGCCAGGAGAGUUGUCACCAACUGGCAAGAAUGGACAAGAAUGGCAGUGGUCACUGGUCAGCAGGUUCUUCGAAACUCCGCUGUGUGACCUCAUAUCGCUAAGAAGAGACUGUCCCACUCUCGCCUGGAGGACCUGUCACUUUGACAGGGAGAAGCUGCCUCAAUUUCUAAACCAGGUGCAAAGGUUCACAUAAACAUGCCCCAUUUACCACCUUUCGUUCCAAGAAGCAGGACCCAGGCUCUGAUUCCCAGCCUAGACCUGAGGCUAAGGUCAGUGCCUUCCUCCCGCCCCAGCACCUAGAGGUCCUGGGCCCCCGAUCCCGGCGCCCCCCAACCCCAGGCUGCUGCCUAGCGACUCCCCACCAACGUUACUUCAGUCGCAACCUCCCGCCCCCACUCUGGGCCCGGGCCUUCCCGGGCGGGCCCCUCCUCCACGUUCCCCCCGUAACCUCGUCCAGGUCCCCUCCCCACCAAUUACCUGCCCCCACCUCCGCCCAUUAAAGCCUAGGGCUCGUUUCCAAGGGACCUCAUCUCUUUACGCACCCCGCAGCGGAAUCUCAGGGCCAGAGGAGCGGCGACAAGUAGGAAAGGUUGCGCUCCCAUGAUCCACCCGGAAGUGCGCCCCAACCCGGCGUUCCCCAGACCCCCGGCCGGGGCUGCGAACCCACCUGCCCCAGCGCGAGUGCGGCCAUGAUCGGUGCGGCGGGUAACUGCGCCCGCCCGGGGCGCGGCCCCAGAGAAAGUCGUUCCGGCCCCGCCCCACUACGCCCCCUCCCGCAGGAUGCUUGCCCGCGGGCCACCCCAAUCCUGCCAGACCUCCCCAAUUGGGAGCCAGGCCCUGCUGCAGAGUACAUGCGCUAUACGAGACAGGAACUUAAUACGCUCCUCCCUCAUUUUUAUUUUUCUUUUCAUACACGCAGUAGUUUUUGAAAAUGCAUUUCCAUAGAGAUUAUCAUGAAGUGCCCGCCAGGAUAAGCAUCUCGAGGUAAGAGAAGGCAAAAACCAGGAGCAGAAAGUUCGGUUUACACAAUCCCUUUGUGAAAAAGAAAAGCUCACUGUAAAUGUCAGCGGAGGCAUAGAGAAAUGUGACUUUUGGAAAAGGACUCUGCUGAGUGGGACAGAUAGAAAUGAAAAAGGAACUUCGCUCUGCAAUCUGGAUACUUUUCCUGUUUGAAUAUGGCUUUUCUUAACAAGGAGAAGCUAUAUGCGUGUUAUUUGUAACUCUGAAAUAAAAACCAUACAAAGU